GCAACUUGGAAGAAUGUAUAGCUUGGGCUAGUUAUUUUGGUUUAAUUAAGUAAUUAAUUAAUUAGUCUAGAUAGAUGGAUUGAUUUACGUCAAUUUGUCUAUGUUAAGGACAAAUAUAAUAUCGACUAUGUCGAAUAAAAUUCUAGAAGAUAUAUAUAUAAUGACUAAUAUCUCUCUAUGAGUCUUGGCCAAAUUGCGUGCCAGCAGUCGCGGUAAGACGUAGAAGACAAGUGUUAUUCAUCUUUAAUAGGUUUAAAGGGUACGUAGACGGUUUAAUUAGUCCAAAAUAGGAUACAAUUUAACUAGAGUUUUAUGUAAGGAGGAGAGUACUUAUAGAGGAGAGUCGAUAUUCUGUGAUACUAUAAGGACUGGUAAAGGCGAAGGCAACCUUUUAUGUAAAAACUGACGUUGAGGUACGAAGGCUUGGGUCACGAAUAGGAUUAGAUACCCUAAUAGUCCAAGCAGAUAAUUAUGAAUGUCAUAGAUUAGAUAUAUUUAAUUUAUAAAUGAAAAUGUAAGCAUUCCACCUCAAGAGUAAUGUGGCAACGCAGGAACUGAAAUCAUUAGACCGUUUCUGAAACCAGUAGUGAAGUAUGUUAUUUAAUUCGUCGAUACGCGAAAAACCUUACCACAAUUUGAAUAUUAUUUAAAUUAAAUAUUACAAGCGUUGCACGGCUGUCUUCAGUUAAUGUCGUGAGAUAUUGGUUGACUCCCUUAAAUUAACGGAAACCCUUGCUUUAUUUAUUAAUUUUUAGUAUAAAGCAGUACUCUUAAACAUUAGGUAUGCUAAUAGGGAUCAAGAUAAGUCAUCAUGGCCUAAAUAUUGUGGCUGA
rnacentral:rRNA from 1 species